GUGCUCGCUCCAGCAGCACAUAAACUAAAAUUGGAAUGAUACAGAGAAGAUCAGCAUGGCCCCUGCGCAAGGAUGACACACAAAUUUUGAAGUGUUCCAUAAUUUG